rnacentral:rRNA from 1 species
AAAUUUGAAAUCUGGCGUUUGCCCGAGUUGUAAUUUGUAGAGGAUGCUUCUGGCCAGCGGCCGUUCUAAGUUCCUUGGAACAGGACGUCAUAGAGGGUGAGAAUCCCGUAUGUGACCGGCGCGCAGCCUUUACGUAGCUCCUUCGACGAGUCGAGUUGUUUGGGAAUGCAGCUCUAAAUGGGAGGUAAAUUUCUUCUAAAGCUAAAUACCGGCCAGAGACCGAUAGCGCACAAGUAGAGUGAUCGAAAGAUGAAAAGCACUUUGGAAAGAGAGUUAAAAAGCACGUGAAAUUGUUGAAAGGGAAGCGCUUGCAACCAGACUUCGUAGCGAUGUUCCGCUGGUCUUCUGACCGGUCUACUCAUCGUCGCGAGGCCAACAUCGUCUGGGCCCGCUGGAUAAGACCUAAGGAAUGUAGCUUCCCUCGGGAAGUGUUAUAGCCUGUGGUGAUGCAGCGCGGCUCGGGCGAGGUCCGCGCUUCGGCAAGGAUGUUGGCGUAAUGGUUGUCAGCGGCCCGUCUUGAAACACGGACCAAGGAGUCUAACAUCUAUGCGAGUGUUCGGGUGUCAAACCCCUACGCGUAAUGAAAGUGAACGGAGGUGGGAAGCGCAAGCUGCACCAUCGACCGAUCCUGAUGUCCUCGGAUGGAUUUGAGUAAGAGCAUAGCUGUUGGGACCCGAAAGAUGGUGAACUAUGCCUGAAUAGGGUGAAGCCAGAGGAAACUCUGG